CCUACGGGAGGCAGCAGUGAGGAAUAUUGGUCAAUGGGCGCGAGCCUGAACCAGCCAAGUCGCGUGAGGGAUGACUGCCCUACGGGUUGUAAACUUCUUUUAUCAAGGAGUAAAGUGGGGCACGUGUGCCUUUUUGUAUGUACUUUGUGAAUAAAGAUCUGCGAACUCCGUGCCCACCGCCGCGGUAAUACGGGGGACCCGAGCGUUAUCCGGAUUUAUUUGGGUUAAAGGGCGCGGAGAUGGGUUGUUAAGUCAAUUGUGAAAGUUUGCGGCUCAAACGUAGAAGUGCAAUUGAUACUGGCAGUCUUGAGUAGAGGUGAGGUAUGCGGAAUGCGUGGUGUAGCGGUGAAAUGCAUAGAUAUCACGAAGAACUCCGAUUGCGAAGGCAGCUUACUAACCCGCCACUGACACUGAUGCACGAAAGUGUGGGUAUCAAACAGGAUUAGAUACCCCUGUAGUC
rnacentral:rRNA from 1 species